rnacentral:rRNA from 1 species
UACGAAGGGGGCUAGCGUUGCUCGGAAUUACUGGGCGUAAAGGGCGCGUAGGCGGCACUGUUAGUCAGGCGUGAAAGUCCUGGGCUCAACCUGGGAACUGCGCUUGAUACGGCAGAGCUAGAGGAUGGAAGAGGGUCGCGGAAUUCCCAGUGUAGAGGUGAAAUUCGUAGAUAUUGGGAAGAACACCGGUGGCGAAGGCGGGUCUCUGGGCAGAAACUGACGCUGAGGAGCGAAAGCGUGGGGAGCGAACAGG